GUGACUAUCUGUAAGUAUCUCACAGGAUAUGAGGAGACAUUUCCACAGAAGCAUUUCCGUACAGUAGAAGAGAGUGACAGUGUGAGCCGAAAGAUGUUCUCUGCCCUUAGGAGACCCACACUGACCCAGUCCAGGUUGAUGAAAGCCAUUCAGCAAACUCACAGGUCAACCAUCUACAGCAAGCCACCAAAGGAAAGGAUCAGGACAGUGCAAUCUGUCUUUGCCUUAUGUGUGUUUGCUGGGACUCUCUUGGGCCCGGCUGGAUGGAUUUUACAUCACAUCCCAGAGUACCGGCAGAGACCACCUCCUUGACUUGGACUUCUGCAAGAACUCUGCAUUCAGGAAGACUUCCAUACACUGUCAUUGAGUGUAGAUCUUUCCAAUGUGUAAAAUGUUAUAAAGGGAAGUGCAACUUGAUGAUAAAAUGUAUAAAGACUCUGACAUGA